GUGGGUAUAGCUCAGUGGUAGAGUGUGUGCUUAGCAUGCGUGAGGUCCUGGGUUCAAUCCUCAGUACCUCCA
rnacentral:tRNA from 1 species